AUGAUAUAAAAACGUGGCUGAAUGAGCUGAAACAGCAAACUGAGAAAGAUGAAUACAAUGACAAGGCAUUUGAUAAAAAACCUAAUGGAAAUUCUGAGUCAGCACAACUUUCUGUAAUUUUAAAGAAAAUUUGCAACAACAUUGAAAGUAGAAGUAAAUACCAAAGGGGCUUGCUUUCCAAAGUAGAGACAUUAUAUUCGAAGCUACAAGAAGCUUGCAAAAAUUUGGAAGCAGAUGCAUCCAGGGGUACGCCACCUCUUGCAGUGCAUGGAGCAGGUGCUCGCCAAAAAGAAUCUCCAGACGAAAGCAAAUUAUCAGCUGCUAUUGUUAAUGCAGAAAAAUUGAUUGAAAAGGUUUCAUCAAAACGGUAAUCAAAUUUAUUUUUGAUACAAGUCAUUCAUACUUCUUAAAAUUAAACAAUGUCGACUGAAAUU